rnacentral:rRNA from 1 species
UACGUAGGGUGCGAGCGUUGUCCGGAAUUACUGGGCGUAAAGAGCUUGUAGGUGGUUUGUCGCGUUGUUCGUGAAAUCUCACGGCUCAACUGUGAGCGUGCGGGCGAUACGGGCAGACUAGAGUACUGCAGGGGAGACUGGAAUUCCUGGUGUAGCGGUGGAAUGCGCAGAUAUCAGGAGGAACACCGGUGGCGAAGGCGGGUCUCUGGGCAGUAACUGACGCUGAGGUGCGAAAGCGUGGGGAGCAAACAGG